CCUACGGGAGGCAGCAGUGGGGAAUAUUGCGCAAUGGGCGAAAGCCUGAAGCAGCGACGCCGCGUGAGGGAUGAAGGUCUUCGGAUCGUAAACCUCUGUCAGUAGGGAAGAACGGUCACUGUGCUAAUCAGUAGUGAAUUGACGGUACCUGCAAAGGAAGCACCGGCUAACUCCGUGCCAGCAGCCGCGGUAAUACGGAGGGUGCGAGCGUUAAUCGGAAUUACUGGGCGUAAAGCGCUCGUAGGUGGUAUGUCAAGUCAAGUGUGAAAGCCCCGCGCUCAACGGGAGAACUGCCUUUGAAACUGGCAAACUUGAGUGUGUGAGAGGAUAGUGGAAUUCCAGGUGUAGGGGUGAAAUCCGUAGAUAUCUGGAAGAACAUCAGUGGCGAAGGCAGCUAUCUGGCACGUAACUGACGCUGAGGAGCGAAAGCGUGGGUAGCAAACAGGAUUAGAUACCCUAGUAGUC
rnacentral:rRNA from 1 species